GACGAACGCUGGCGGCGUGCUUAACACAUGCAAGUCGAACGGAAAGGCCCUGCUUUUGUGGGGUGCUCGAGUGGCGAACGGGUGUGUAACACGUGAGUAACCUGCCCUUGACUUUGGGAUAACUUCAGGAAACUGGGGCUAAUACCGGAUAGGAGCUCCUGCUGCAUGGUGGGGGUUGGAAAGUUUCGGCGGUUGGGGAUGGACUCGCGGCUUAUCAGCUUGUUGGUGGGGUAGUGGCUUACCAAGGCUUUGACGGGUAGCCGGCCUGAGAGGGUGACCGGGCACAUUGGGACUGAGGUACGGCCCAGACUCCUACGGGGGGCAGCAGGGGGAAAUAUUGCACAAUGGGCGGAAGCCUGAUGCAGCAACGCCGCGUGCGGAAUGACGGCCUGCGGGUUGUAAACCGCUUUCGCCUGUGACGAAGCGUGAGUGACGGUAAUGGGUAAAGAAGCACCGGCUAACUACGUG
rnacentral:rRNA from 1 species